rnacentral:lncRNA from 1 species
UGUGAGUUUAUUGCUUCUGCUAUCUAUUUUCUACAUCGCCGGCACAAGCAGUGCUUACUCGAGACCCAGUUCAAGCUACAUUCAGAAGUCGUGCAAGGCCACGACUUUCCCCGCCGUGUGUUUGCAGACUCUAUCGGCGUACUCCAGCAAGAUCCAGCAGAGUCCGCAGAACCUGGCCCUGACUGCUUUAUCUGUGAGCUUGUCCAGGGCGCAGUACGCUAAGGGGUUCGUGUCCAAGAUGACUAAGUUCAAGGGACUCAAGAGGAGGGAGUAUCAGGCCAUUAAGGACUGUGUUGAGGAGAUGGAUGACACGGUGGACCGGCUGAGCAAGGCGGCCCAGGAGUUGCAGCGUUUGAGUGGGUUCAG